GUUGCUGGAAAACACUUUGGUGCUGUGCUGAGAUGUUCACAGGUACAGUGCCUUGAUAACUAGUUGCUGGUGUGCCGUGAGCGCAUCAUGGGGCCUGUGGGCACAUCACAGGGCUUGGUGGAGACUUAAUGGCCAAUCUUACAUUUUCAUUCCUGGCAGUGGAAACACAGGUUGUGCAGCGUUGGAUGAGCAUCUUUCCUCUCCGCAGUGCUGAGAGUCAGGAAGCUGCUCUGUGAAGGCCCAGAUCCAAAGAGAGCACAUGGAAAUUGAAGCCAUGUGGGACUUAACAAGAGAUCAAAUAGUGCCUUAAACAUCCCAGGGCAGCAGCCCUGUCCCCAGAGCCUGGGGCGGCCCCUGUGAUGGAGCCUGUCUUUCCUGGUGCUCUGAGUCCCUCCCCUCCCAGCCUGCUGCAGGGGCCCCUCCUGUUCCUGGACCUUGGAUCAGCUUAUUCACUGAUGACAACAGCGCUGAUGAAACAUUAAUUCAUGACCUCUGGAAUACGCACUCUUUAACACACGUAAGUGUGUGUAG
rnacentral:lncRNA from 1 species